AUCGAAUCUUUGAACGCACCUUGCGCCCCUUGGUUAUUCCUCGGAGCAUGCCUGUUUGAGUAUCAUGAACACCUCAACUCUCAUGGUCUUCCAUGAUGAGCUUGGACUUUGGGGGUUUGCUGGCCCUGUGGCCGGCUCCUCUCAAAUGAAUCAGCUUGCCAGUGUUUGGUGGCGUCACGGGUGUGAUAAAUAUCUACGCUCGCAGUUGUCCGCCAGGUAACCUUUGGUGACAAAGGUUCGCUGGAGCUCACAGAUGUCUCUCCUCAGCGAGGACAGCUUUUUGAACGUUCGAUCUCAAAUCAGGUAGGACUACCCGCUGAACUUAAGC
rnacentral:rRNA from 1 species